UGCAUUCACUACUGUAAGUCGCUCUGGAUAAGAGCUUCUGCUAAAUGACUAAAA
rfam:Salmo salar isolate Sally breed double haploid chromosome ssa05, whole genome shotgun sequence.